rnacentral:rRNA from 1 species
GGUGAACGCUGGCGGCGUGCCUAAUACAUGCAAGUAGAACGCUGAAGGAGGAGCUGGCUCUGCUGGAUGAGUUGCGAACGGGUGAUUAACGCGUAGGUAACCUGCCUGGUAGCGGGGGAUAACUAUUGGAAACGAUAUCUAAUACCGCAUGACAACAGUUAUUGCAUGAUAACUGUUGAAAAGGGGCAACUGCUCCACUACCAGAUGGACCUGAGUUGUAUUAGCUAGUUGGUGAGGUAACGGCUCACCAAGGCGACGAUACAUAGCCGGCCUGUGAGGGGGAUCGACCACACUGGGACUGAGGCCCGGCCCCGACUCCCACGGGAAGCAGCAGUAGGGAAUUUUCGGCAAUGGAAGGAAGUCUGACUCAGCCACGCCGCGUGACUGAAGAAGGUUUUCGGAUCUUAAAGCUCUGUUGUAAGAGAAGAAAGAGUGUGAGAGUAGAAAGUUCACCAUGUGACGGUACCUUACCAGAAAGGGACGGCUAACUACGUG